AAUAACGAGUGCGUUGUAAUUCAUAUAAAGUUGAUAUAAAGUAUGAAAAAGGCUUCUAUAGUGGCUGACUGACAGGAAACAAGGGUGAGCACGGCGCUGCCGUCCAUCAUGCAGACGGAGAUGUGCAGGUUGUUGGCGAUGGAGAGGACGACGGUCAGACUGUCAGCAGCCGAAGAGCACGAAGUGAUGCCCUCCAUGAUGGCGCUGCAGAGCUCUCUGUCACUGAGCUCCGUGCUGCGAUGAGACAGAGAGUUCUUCAUCCGGUUCACCGCCAGCAGCAGGUUGGCCACGGACUGGAAAGUCU